rnacentral:rRNA from 1 species
GAGUUUGAUCCUGGCUCAGAGCGAACGCUGGCGGCAGGCUUAACACAUGCAAGUCGUAACGUGUAAGCCGGACUUCGGUCCGGGGGAAAGUGGCGCACGGGUGAGUAACGCGUGGGAAUCUACCCAGCAGUACGGAAUAACUCCAGGGAAACCGGUGCUAAUACCGCAUACGCCCCGAGGGGGAAAGAUUUAUCGCUGUUGGAUGAGCCCGCGUCGGAUUAGCUUGUUGGUGGGGUAAUGGCCCACCAAGGCUCCGAUCCGUAGCUGGUCUGAGAGGAUGAUCAGCCACACUGAGGACUGAGACACGGCCCAUACUCCUACGGGAGGCACCAGUGGGGAAUAUUGGACAAUGGGCGAAAGCCUGAUCCAGUCCAUGCCGCGUGUAGUGAAUCAAGGCCCUAAGGUUGUACAAGCGUCUUUCGACGGGGAAUAUAAUGACGCGCAACGCCGCACAAUGAAGUCCCCGGGCCAACCUCCAGUGCCAGAAGCCCCG